UGUCUAUAAAAUACUGUCUACUAAAACUCCUU
rnacentral:piRNA from 1 species